UUUUAUACCUGGCAGUUGGAAUACCAUGAUCAAGAAGGUCGUUUCCCCAGGAUGAGGCUCUUCCAUUGUACUUUUCUGUUGGGUAGACCCCUGUGAUUUCCCCAAAUGUGGGUAUCUCAACUGCAUAAUUUAUAGUAGUGUGGGACUGCAUUUAAAACAGAUCUGGU